rnacentral:rRNA from 1 species
GAUUAACGCUGGCGGCGUGCAUAACACAUGCAAGUCGAACGAAGUGGCGGACGGGUGAGUAACGCGUGAGUCACCUGCCUUAGAGAAGGGGAUAGCCUUUGGAAACGACGAAUCAUACCCUAUCCUCUAGGAUGGACUUGCGUCUGAUUAGUUAGUUGGUGAGGUAACGGCCCACCAAGCCAGCGAUCAGUAGCCGGCUGUAGAGAGUGUACGGCAACAUUGGGACUGGGACACGGCCCAGACUCGACGGGAGGCAGCAGUGGGGAAGUUUGCACAAGGGGGGAAACCCGGAGGCAGCGACGCCGCGUGAUUUAGAAGGCCUUCGGGUUGUAAAAAUCUUUUCUAUGGGAAGCAGUACCAUAGGAAUAAGGACCGGCUAAUUACGUGCCAGCAGCCGCGGUAAUUC